AUUGAACGCUGGCGGCAGGCCUAACACAUGCAAGUCGAGCGGAGCGGCGGACGGGUGAGUAAUGCCUAGGAAUCUGCCUGGUAGUGGGGGAUAACGUCCGGAAACGGGCGCUAAUACCGCAUACUAUCAGAUGAGCCUAGGCCGGCUUAGCUAGGUGGUGGGGUAAAGGCCUACCAAGGCGACGAUCCGUAACUGGGCUGAGAGGAUGAUCAGUCACAAGGGAACUGAGACACGGUCCAGACUCCUACGGGAGGCAGCAGUGGGGAAUGGUGGACAAUUGGCUGAAGCCUGAUCCAGCCAUGCCACGUGUGUGAAGAAGGUCGUCAGAUUGUAAAGCUCUUUAAGUUGGGAGGCGUUAUCAACAGAAUAAGCACCGGCUAACUUCGUGCCAGGAGCCGCGGUAAUAG
rnacentral:rRNA from 1 species